rnacentral:rRNA from 1 species
AUUGAACGCUGGCGGCAUGCCUUACACAUGCAAGUCGAACGGCAGCACGGGUGCUUGCACCUGGUGGCGAGUGGCGAACGGGUGAGUAAUACAUCGGAACAUGUCCUGUAGUGGGGGAUAGCCCGGCGAAAGCCGGAUUAAUACCGCAUACGAUCUACGGAUGAAAGCGGGGGACCUUCGGGCCUCGCGCUAUAGGGUUGGCCGAUAGCUGAUUAGCUAGUUGGUGGGGUAAAGGCCUACCAAGGCGACGAUCAGUAGCUGGUCUGAGAGGACGACCAGCCACACUGGGACUGAGACACGGCCCAGACUCCUACGGGAGGCAGCAGUGGGGAAUUUUGGACAAUGGGCGAAAGCCUGAUCCAGCAAUGCCGCGUGUAUGAAGAAGGCCUUCGGGUUGUAAAGCACUUUUGUCCGGAAAGAAAUCCUUGGCUCUAAUACAGUCGGGGGAUGACGGUACCGGAAGAAUAAGCACCGGCUAACUACGUG